UACAGAGGGUGCAAGCGUUGUUCGGAAUCAUUGGGCGUAAAGCGCGUGUAGGCGGCGUGUUAAGUCAGGUGUGAAAUCCUGGAGCUCAACCCCAGAACUGCCUUUGAUACUGCCGUGCUCGAGUGUGGGAGAGGUUGGUGGAAUUCCGAGUGUAGAGGUGAAAUGCGUAGAUAUUCGGAAGAACACCAGUGGCGAAGGCGGCCAACUGGUCCAUUACUGACGCUGAGGUGCGAAAGCGUGGGGAGCAAACAGG
rnacentral:rRNA from 1 species